rnacentral:sRNA from 1 species
AAAAGGUGCAGAAAUUCUGUGGGAAGGCGGCUUCCCAGGGCGGGUGUGCUGGGGACCCAAGCGGCACCGCGGGGAGGGGGCUCUACGCGCUCAACCCCGUCCCAGGCACUGUCCGCCGCCUCCACCCGCCGGCCUCCCGCAGCCUGGCCAGCGCCAUGAGGACCAAGCAGGUGAACUUGCUGAUCACCCUGGUCGCCGUCGCGUUGUUCAGCUUCUCUUGCUUCUGCAUCUACAGGAUAACUCAAACCAAUAAUCGAUUAAUUAAUUGUAGAAACCAUAUUUUGGAGUUUAAAGAAAAUAUGCUACACUUAAGAAACAAAACUGAAAAAAAUAGCCAAGAGAUGAUGAAAGUUUUGAAUCGAAUGAAGUAUGAAAUUACAAAGAAAGAAAAUUUGUCAGGAAACUUAGAGUAAUGAAGAUUAUUUACAUUCUGUUGUUAAAAUGAUUACAAAAAAAUUCAAAAGGCAAGUGAGGUCUGGAUCCU